rnacentral:rRNA from 1 species
CACGUAGGGACCAAGCGUUGUCCGGAUUCAUUGGGCGUAAAGAGCUCGUAGGCGGUUCGAUAAGUCGGGUGUGAAACCUCCAGGCUCAACCUGGAGACGCCACCCGAUACUGUCGUGACUAGAGUCCAGUAGGGGAGCGUGGAAUUCCUGGUGUAGCGGUGAAAUGCGUAGAUAUCAGGAGGAACACCGGUGGCGAAGGCGGCUCUCUGGACGGUGACUGACGCUGAGACGCGAAAGCGUGGGGAGCAAACAGG